ensembl:lncRNA
UUUGACAUAAAUCUAUUUAUUAUUUUUUAUUUAUUCUCAAUCAAAAUAGUUCACAGGGUAUUUAGAGAUCAACACAUAAGUAGUUUUAAAAUGUGAUCAAAUAAUAACAUACAGACACUCCAUAAAACAUUGAGAAGCAGCGAGUGACGAGUCCAGUUCCAUUUAACCAGGGAGAUGUGAGGUCAAACGAGACCUGGAGGGCUGACAGACACUGUCCUGUUCCCCCCAGUUCCAUUUAACCAGGAGAUGUGAGGUCAAACUAGACCUGGAGGGCUGACAGACACUGUCCUGUUCCCCUGUGGCCCCCUAUUCCCCUGUGAGGUCAAACUAGACCUGGAGGGCUGACAGACACUGUCCUGUUCCCCUGUGGCCCCCUAUUCCCCGUGGGCCUCCUAUUCCCCUGUGAGGUCAAACUAGACCUGGAGGGCUGACAGACACUGUCCUGUUCCC